GAAUGAAGAGGAAAAGUGCGGUUUCCCCUAGUAUUCCCUGCUGAUGUGAUGUACUGUGAGGAGCACCCAAAGAAGGGACUUCAGCAUGUUCAGACCUCCUCACUGCCCUCCAGAGGUACUCUCAGGGAAGUCAGAGGUUUGGACUUGCUUUACAGUUGAACAUAUAUGCUUCUAUGUGACAGCCUUUGGGAGAGCCUGAUUCCUAGAAAACAUAAACUAGGCCUCUAGUCAGUGAUAGUGACUCAUCAACAGCAGGCUCUGCCUUCAAGGAUGUCUCAGACUCCCUGGUGUCUGGCAGGCCAGCACACAAAUGCCGCAAACACCUUUAGUUGGACCUUUUUGUAAACAUUAUGGUUGGGUUUAUUCCCUUCUACUGAAAAACUGGUCCAGAACCCAAUCCCUCCACUGGUUAAAAAUCUUCCAAUUUCCAGCUAAAUGUGUUUAAGACCAGUGUGCACAAGGAAUCAAGUAAUACAAGAGAAGAGGCAUUUUGCAAGGUGUAUGUCCAGGCUCUUCGUUACAAUGUUGAAAGCAAAUGCUGGCAAAGAAGAAAAUGCAAAUGGCAGAUCUGCUCAGGGAUGACUACCAACCUCCAGCCCCCAGACACCCAGCAGCCUUUCCAACUGCCAGCUCUGGGAAUCUCGAGCUCCCAGCGAUACUCUGCCUUCCAAACAGCUCCCCACUUUCCAUUUCUACUCCUGUGCCAGGUGUAGUACCAGCUUCAGGAGCUGAUGACCUGAUUUUCAUCCCAUCACUCUCCCUGGACGUCCCUUGAGCAUCAGCAUUUUUUAAGUGAUACCUAAGAUGAUACAGCUUGAAGGUGAGGAGCACCAGAUCCAAGAGGUUCAGCAUACAGGAGGGAAGGAGCAUGAGAAGUCAGGGCAGAAUGCAAAGGCUGUUUUCUGUCUUCCUGAAAGAGAACGAGGAAAUAGGUCUGGAAAACGGAACUGGAGAGAGAAGAGGAGGGGAGUGAGAACUGAAUGAUUUAUUUGCACAUACACAUGAGAGAACGAGAGGCAAAGUUUCAAACUGAUAAUUGGUUUGGGAUUUUUAUUGAUUAUAAAUUACAAUUCCAAGCUGUAGUUAAAAACCUGAGCCUGAACCAUACCUGCUAUACAGAGUUGCUAACACAUCUCUAUAAAAUGUUGUGCAAGACAGCAGCUAGACAUAAAUUCUGCAAUGCUUGUGAUUUCCAGCAUGUUACUUUCUAUAAUGACCCUCCAUUCGUAUUAAAUAUGGUAGCAGACAUAGAUGUGAAAUGCUGCUUGGAAGCAUCUUUUCCAGCACUUUGUUUCCUGUGACCCAUUUCCCACACCUUCCCCUUGGUUCUUGAAUAAAAUAAGUGGAAG
ensembl:lncRNA